UUACGAUAAUAGCAAAUUUACCGAAAGGUAAAGACGCAAAGCUAUGGGUCUAAGGAAUAUAUUCUAUGAUUGCCAGGUUGCCGAA
rnacentral:ncRNA from 2 species